AGCAGUAGCCGCGGUAAUACGAAGGGUGCAAGCGUUACUCGGAAUUACUGGGCGUAAAGCGUGCGUAGGUGGUGGUUUAAGUCCGUUGUGAAAGCCCUGGGCUCAACCUGGGAAUUGCAGUGGAUACUGGGUCACUAGAGUGUGGCAGAGGAUAGUGGAAUUUCCGGUGUAGCAGUGAAAUGCGUAGAGAUCGGAAGGAACAUCUGUGGCGAAGGCGACUAUCUGGGCCAACACUGACACUGAGGCACGAAAGCGUGGGGAGCAAACAGGAUUAGAUACCCGGGUAGUCCCUGUCUCUUAUAC
rnacentral:rRNA from 1 species